rnacentral:rRNA from 1 species
UACGAACUGUGCAAACGUUAUUCGGAAUCACUGGGCUUAAAGGGCGCGUAGGCGGCCUGUUAAGUCGAACGUGAAAUCCCCGGGCUCAACCCGGGAACUGCGUCCGAUACUGGCAGGCUUGAAUCCGGGAGAGGGAUGCGGAAUUCCAGGUGUAGCGGUGAAAUGCGUAGAUAUCUGGAGGAACACCGGUGGCGAAGGCGGCAUCCUGGACCGGCAUUGACGCUGAGGCGCGAAAGCCAGGGGAGCAAACGGG